rnacentral:rRNA from 1 species
UACGAAGGGGGCUAGCGUUGUUCGGAAUCACUAGGCGUAAAGGGCGCGUAGGCGGCCGAUCAAGUCGGGGGUGAAAGCCUGUGGCUCAACCACAGAAUUGCCUUCGAUACUGUUUGGCUUGAGACCGGAAGAGGUUAGUGGAACUGCGAGUGUAGAGGUGAAAUUCGUAGAUAUUCGCAAGAACACCAGUGGCGAAGGCGGCUCACUGGCCCGAUACUGACGCUGAGGCACGAAAGCGUGGGGAGCAAACAGG